AAAUUGAAGAGUUUGAUCAUGGCUCAGAUUGAACGCUGGCGGCAGGCCUAACACAUGCAAGUCGAACGGUAACAGGAAGCAGCUUGCUGCUUCGCUGACGAGUGGCGGACGGGUGAGUAAUGUCUGGGAAACUGCCUGAUGGAGGGGGAUAACUACUGGAAACGGUAGCUAAUACCGCAUAACGUCGCAAGACCAAAGAGGGGGACCUUCGGGCCUCUUGCCAUCAGAUGUGCCCAGAUGGGAUUAGCUUGUUGGUGGGGUAACGGCUCACCAAGGCGACGAUCCCUAGCUGGUCUGAGAGGAUGACCAGCCACACUGGAACUGAGACACGGUCCAGACUCCUACGGGAGGCAGCAGUGGGGAAUAUUGCACAAUGGGCGCAAGCCUGAUGCAGCCAUGCCGCGUGUAUGAAGAAGGCCUUCGGGUUGUAAAGUACUUUCAGCGGGGAGGAAGGUGUUGUGGUUAAUAACCACAGCAAUUGACGUUACCCGCAGAAGAAGCACCGGCUAACUCCGUGCCAGCAGCCGCGGUAAUACGGAGGGUGCAAGCGUUAAUCGGAAUUACUGGGCGUAAAGCGCACGCAGGCGGUCUGUUAAGUCAGAUGUGAAAUCCCCGGGCUCAACCUGGGAACUGCAUCUGAUACUGGCAGGCUUGAGUCUCGUAGAGGGGGGUAGAAUUCCAGGUGUAGCGGUGAAAUGCGUAGAGAUCUGGAGGAAUACCGGUGGCGAAGGCGGCCCCCUGGACGAAGACUGACGCUCAGGUGCGAAAGCGUGGGGAGCAAACAGGAUUAGAUACCCUGGUAGUCCACGCCGUAAACGAUGUCGACUUGGAGGUUGUGCCCUUGAGGCGUGGCUUCCGGAGCUAACGCGUUAAGUCGACCGCCUGGGGAGUACGGCCGCAAGGUUAAAACUCAAAUGAAUUGACGGGGGCCCGCACAAGCGGUGGAGCAUGUGGUUUAAUUCGAUGCAACGCGAAGAACCUUACCUGGUCUUGACAUCCACAGAAGUUUUCAGAGAUGAGAAUGUGCCUUCGGGAACUGUGAGACAGGUGCUGCAUGGCUGUCGUCAGCUCGUGUUGUGAAAUGUUGGGUUAAGUCCCGCAACGAGCGCAACCCUUAUCCUUUGUUGCCAGCGGUCCGGCCGGGAACUCAAAGGAGACUGCCAGUGAUAAACUGGAGGAAGGUGGGGAUGACGUCAAGUCAUCAUGGCCCUUACGACCAGGGCUACACACGUGCUACAAUGGCAUAUACAAAGAGAAGCGACCUCGCGAGAGCAAGCGGACCUCAUAAAGUAUGUCGUAGUCCGGAUUGGAGUCUGCAACUCGACUCCAUGAAGUCGGAAUCGCUAGUAAUCGUGGAUCAGAAUGCCACGGUGAAUACGUUCCCGGGCCUUGUACACACCGCCCGUCACACCAUGGGAGUGGGUUGCAAAAGAAGUAGGUAGCUUAACCUUCGGGAGGGCGCUUACCACUUUGUGAUUCAUGACUGGGGUGAAGUCGUAACAAGGUAACCGUAGGGGAACCUGCGGUUGGAUCACCUCCUUACCUUAAAGAA
rnacentral:rRNA from 1 species